ACACAUGCAGUCGGACGGUAGCACAGAGGAGCUUGCUCCUCGGGUGACGAGUGGCGGACGGGUGAGUAAUGUCUGGGAAACUGCCCGAUGGAGGGGGAUAACUACUGGAAACGGUAGCUAAUACCGCAUAACGUCGCAAGACCAAAGUGGGGGACCUCCGGGCCUCACACCAUCGGAUGUGCCCAGAUGGGAUUAGCUUGUAGGCGGGGUAACGGCCCACCUAGGCGACGAUCCCUAGCUGGUCUGAGAGGAUGACCAGCCACACUGGAACUGAGACACGGUCCAGACUCCUACGGGAGGCAGCAGUGGGGAAUAUUGCACAAUGGGCGCAAGCCUGAUGCAGCCAUGCCGCGUGUAUGAAGAAGGCCUUCGGGUUGUAAAGUACUUUCAGCGGGGAGGAAGGUGCUGAGGUUAAUAACCUCAGCAAUUGACGUUACCCGCAGAAGAAGCACCGGCUAACUCCGUGCCAGCAGCCGCGGUAAUACGGAGGGUGCAAGCGUUAAUCGGAAUUACUGGGCGUAAAGCGCACGCAGGCGGUCUGUUAAGUCAGAUGUGAAAUCCCCGGGCUUAACCUGGGAACUGCAUUUGAAACUGGCAGGCUUGAGUCUCGUAGAGGGGGGUAGAAUUCCAGGUGUAGCGGUGAAAUGCGUAGAGAUCUGGAGGAAUACCGGUGGCGAAGGCGGCCCCCUGGACGAAGACUGACGCUCAGGUGCGAAAGCGUGGGGAGCAAACAGGAUUAGUACC
rnacentral:rRNA from 1 species